rnacentral:rRNA from 1 species
AUGCCGCUCGAGGAGGCCUCCGCGGCGGCCACCGUUCCAGCGGUGUCUCCGGCUGUUGCAGUCGUCGUCCUUCCGCCGUCUGCAUCGCCAUCUCGGGCUGAUAGCGUCGUGGAGACCACGACAGGAGCAGGGUCGUGCACUUGGGCUGCAAGCACCAUCCCGGCUGCUGGCGUUCUCCCUCGACCGCGGCCGCUGCCGCCAGCUUGCAGAUUCAGGAGGGAGGGUGGGGGUGUGAAGGCCUCGUGCACGCCCCGUCUCAAUCCUACGUCAACAUCUGCUUCUGUCCGGACUCAUGCCGCCCCUGUCCCUCUUGUCGGUGCCGUCUCAAGUAUGCUGCUGCCGGCCCCUGCUGCCCCAGCGAAUGGAGAGGACGGGCGCUGUGAAGAGGAUCUGGCUCUGUUGCUGCCCGCCAAUGUAAAGAGCACCGUUGUUGCCAUGGGGCGCGAGCUGACCAGUGCACCGCGAGCCCGAGCCCUGUUGCCGGCCCCUGUGGCCCCGGCCAAUGAAGAGGCUAUGGAGAGGAGAUGGCCUUGA